rnacentral:rRNA from 1 species
ACGUACACUCCUACGGGAGGCAGCAGUGGGGAAUAUUGCACAAUGGGCGCAAGCCUGAUGCAGCCAUGCCGCGUGUAUGAAGAAGGCCUUCGGGUUGUAAAGUACUUUCAGCGGGGAGGAAGGCAAUACGGUUAAUAACCGUGUUGAUUGACGUUACCCGCAGAAGAAGCACCGGCUAACUCCGUGCCAGCAGCCGCGGUAAUACGGAGGGUGCAAGCGUUAAUCGGAAUUACUGGGCGUAAAGCGCACGCAGGCGGUCUGUCAAGUCGGAUGUGAAAUCCCCGGGCUCAACCUGGGAACUGCAUUCGAAACUGGCAGGCUUGAGUCGUGUAGAGGGGGGUAGAAUUCCAGGUGUAGCGGUGAAAUGCGUAGAGAUCUGGAGGAAUACCGGUGGCGAAGGCGGCCCCCUGGACAAAGACUGACGCUCAGGUGCGAAAGCGUGGGGAGCAAACAGGAUUAGAAACCCUUGUAGUCCCA